ACGAGCCCACGACUCACCCCAUAGGUCGAGGUUGUCACAGCGCCGCGCCGCCCCCCUGCCCGAGCGCGACUCACCCUGCCCACAUCGUCGCGUUGUCCCUGUCCACAGGGUCGCCUGCCCGCCGUCCUGCACGCGAUACACCACUGCUACGCCGCCGGCCCACGCGCCUCCUCCGCUGUGUAGCUAUGUCUCCACCUACGCGCCUUACGCCCGCGCACGCCGAUCUGCAUGCCGGCCGGCCGGCGGCUGCGUCGUUAAGCCACGGAGCCCCUGACCCUCAUCGCCACACGGCCUCCUGCUCAACGACGACAACCUAUGACACUCACUCAUAAAGGGGUGCUACUGGACAUUUAAAUACAAGAAGGCGGAGGUUGACAAGUUCUGUUGGUGUUCCCUAUGUUUCAAUAAAGGAUCGUACAUACACUCUUCUUCUGUAUUUGGGUCCAUGUGGAGUGAUUGGGCCAACUAUGAGCGAUUCUUGCUGCUGAUAAUUUUUCUUCAUGUAUUUAUUUUCUGGCAGGAUGGACAGCAAAGAUAAUAAGGUUUAUGUGCGUGCACUCUCUCCACUCCAUUUCUGCAGCAGUGCAACCCAUCCAUUAAUUUUAUUCCAAACUCUUUAUUUACUACUUGUAGUGUACUUUCACUGUGCAUCAAGUUUUUCCAACAAUAAUAGCAUGUCAAAGGUCGUCUCUCAAAACUUUGGAUAGUGUUGUGGUUAUGGCUGUAAUUCCAAAAAGAAAAACCUCACAUCCGCAUCAUUUCUUGAUAUGCUUUCUUCCUAUUCUUCAAAUUACAAGAAAAGACCUAAAGUUUCAUAAGACAUUUCUCCUGAUUCUUGAAAUGACAAAAAAAACCUUAAGUUUGAAUUAAAACCCAUGGCGAUUUUAUCAGUAAGCAUGAGGUACUUAGUCCUAAUACAUUCCUAACUAAUAGUGGUAAUGUACUCACUGAUUUCACAUGUCCUGGAAAUUGGAUUUCCUAUCAUCUACAGGAUGGCACAGGUAUACUUUGUCAUGCAAGGAUAUUGAUAGUGAAGCCAUGGUCCAAGAUUGUAGAUGCAGCUCAUGAAUGCAUAUAUCAUUAAAAAAAUUAGAGAGCACCUCCACCAUUCCUAGCUACUUUAUUUACAUAUAUAUAUUUUCUGGAUUAUGUAAAAGAAAUUGUUGCAGAAUGAAUUGGAAAUUUCUGAAAUUUAUCGGCAUGUCGACUUGCAUGAGGCUAUAAUAGAAUUUCGAAGUGCACUAAGAUGUCAAUAGAAAGAGGAGAUGUGAACAUUGUAGUUUCACAUUUCUUUCAAAGAGUUGAUAUACAAGAUUCAUCUUGGGUCGACGUUAGUAGACGUUCACCAAAACAUGUGUAAGUAUCACUUAUUUUGAGUCUUCCCCUAAUUUACUAUGGGGGAGUUGUAGAUUUCAUGGUGCUCGGUCAUAAGUGAAGAAUUAGAACAAAAAUUCCAUGCUCAUGUGAACGUGUGAUAUGUUUCUUUUGCCUUAAAUAACUUGUUUUUCUUUAUCCUGAAAUUAUGGUUGUUCAGUUCAAACAUAAACAUUUAGCUAAGAGACUUGUUGAUGUUUGCAACCAUAACAAGGUCAAAUUAUGAACAAUCGAUAUUGAUAGUGAAGCCAUGGUCCAAGAUUGUAGCUGCAGCUCAUUCAAAAAGUUUUAGAGAGCGCCUCCACCAUUCCAAGCUACUUUGUUUACAUAUAUAUUUCCUGGAUUAUGUAAAAUAAAUUGUUGCAGAAUGAAUUGGAAAUUUGUGAAAUUUAUUGGCAUGUAGACUUGCAUGAGGCUAUAAUAGAAUUUCGAAGUGACACUUACGAAAUCCAAUAGAGAUUGGCUUGUCAUAAACAUUUCUUCUUCAGCAAAAAAAUUAGCAUAAUGAAUACUAACCGUUUCUUCAGCAAUUGCUUAUGUCUGAACUAGGUUGUGCUUAUGUUACUGAAGCUGAUCAUUUUUAGCUCGAAGCGAUCCUUCUAUUUCUUUUUGUUCAUAGUCAUGUAGAAGCUCAAUCUGUUAUGGCAAGAAGAUUUCAACGCUACCGUGAAAGAUUGAGGCAUUAAUGUUCUUUCUAGAUAAUUACAUAAGUACUCUUUUCCAAAGUUUGUUUUACCUUACCGAGCCAGUAUGGCUGUAGCAGAAUGUAUGUAUCUGCAUGGGUCUUGGUGUGACCACGGGUAGGUAUGUAUGUAUAUUUUUUUUUCGAAAUGGGGAUUAGAACCCCGGCUUCUGCAUCAUGAUGAUGCACACGGCCUUUGUAUGUAUCUAUUGACAUG